GGGAGUAUGGCUCAGUGGUAGAGUGCUUACCUAGCACGCAUGAAGCCCUGGGUUCAAUUCCUCAGUACCA
rnacentral:tRNA from 1 species